rnacentral:rRNA from 1 species
UACAGAGGGUGCUAGCGUUGUUCGGAAUCAUUGGGCGUAAAGGGCGUGUAGGCGGUUUGUUAAGUCAUGUGUGAAAGCCCCCGGCUCAACUGGGGAGGGUCACGCGAUACUGAUCGACUCGAAGGCAGGAGAGGGUAGUGGAAUUCCCGGUGUAGUGGUGAAAUGCGUAGAUAUCGGGAGGAACACCAGUGGCGAAGGCGACUACCUGGCCUGUUUCUUGACGCUGAGGCGCGAAAGCUAGGGGAGCAAACGGG